GACGAACGCUGGCGGCGUGCUUAACACAUGCAAGUCGAACGGAAAGGCCCUGCCUUUGUGGGGUGCUCGAGUGGCGAACGGGUGAGUAACACGUGAGUAACCUGCCCUUGACUUUGGGAUAACUUCAGGAAACUGGGGCUAAUACCGGAUAGGAGCUCCUGCUGCAUGGUGGGGGUUGGAAAGUUUCGGCGGUUGGGGAUGGACUCGCGGCUUAUCAGCUUGUUGGUGGGGUAGUGGCUUACCAAGGCUUUGACGGGUAGCCGGCCUGAGAGGGUGACCGGCCACAUUGGGACUGAGAUACGGCCCAGACUCCUACGGGAGGCAGCAGUGGGGAAUAUUGCACAAUGGGCGGAAGCCUGAUGCAGCAACGCCGCGUGCGGGAUGACGGCCUUCGGGCUGUAAACCGCUUUCGCCUGUGACGAAGCGUGAGUGACGGUAAUGGGUAAAGAAGCACCGGCUAACUACGUG
rnacentral:rRNA from 1 species